rnacentral:rRNA from 1 species
AGAGUUUGAUCCUGGCUCAGGAUGAACGCUGGCGGCGUGCCUAACACAUGCAAGUCGAACGAAGAGGCCCCUUCGGGGGUACUUCAGUGGCGGACGGGUGAGUAACACGUAGGUGACCUGCCCCGAAGCAGGGGAUAACGGCUCGAAAGGGCCGCUAAUACCCAAAAGGGUCGCGAGUCGCAUCGCGAUCAGAGUUACGGCGUUUCGGGAGGGGCCUGCGGCCCAUCAGCUAGUUGGCAGGGUAAUGGCCUACCAAGGCGACGACGGGUAGGGGGCCUGAGAGGGUGAUCCCCCACAUUGGCACUGACACACGGGCCAAACUCCUACGGGAGGCAGCAGUGAGGAAUAUUGCACAAUGGGCGAAAGCCAGGAUGCAGCAACGCCGCGUGGACGAUGAAGGCCUUCGGGUCGUAAAGUCCUUUUCAGGGGGACGAGAGAGGACGGUACCCCUGGAAUAAGUCACGGCUAACUACGUGCCAGCAGCCGCGGUAAAACGUAGGUGGCUAGCGUUAUCCGGAUUCACUGGGCGUAAAGCGCCUGCAGGCGGUCCUGUAAGUGGGACGUGAAAUCUCCUGGCUCAACUGGGAGGGGCCGUUCCAUACUGCGAGACUAGAGGGCAGAAGAGGGAAGCGGAAUUCCCGGUGUAGUGGUGAAAUGCGUAGAUAUCGGGAGGAACACCAGUGGCGAAGGCGGCUUCCUGGCCUGCUCCUGACGCUAAGAGGCGAAAGCUAGGGGAGCGAACGGGAUUAGAAACCCCGGUAGUCCUAGCCGUAAACGAUGGAUGCUAGGUGUAGGUGGUCCUAACCCCAUCUGUGCCGAAGCUAAUGCGUUAAGCAUCCCGCCUGGGGACUACGGCCGCAAGGUUAAAACUCAAAGGAAUUGACGG